rnacentral:snoRNA from 1 species
ACUCCUUAGGGUAAUUUGAGUGGUAUCAACAAAUCCUCAAACCUGGUUGAUGAAUUAUGGCCGUGCGAUCUGAGUGUGAUUAACGGUUCAGAACCUUCUCGGAGGCCCCCACACUAGAGAGGAUCGCUAUCUGGUUAGGUCUUGAACUUACCUGUGUAGUCGCAUAGUUGUCUGACAGGCU